UACGAAGGGGGGCUAGCGUUGCUCGGAUUGACUGGGCGUAAAGGGCGCGUAGGCGGUUCGUACAGUCAGACGUGAAAUUCCUGGGCUCAACCUGGGGGCUGCGUUUGAUACGUGCGGACUUGAGUGCGGAAGAGGGUCGUGGAAUUCCCAGUGUAGAGGUGAAAUUCGUAGAUAUUGGGAAGAACACCGGUGGCGAAGGCGGCAACCUGGUCCUUGACUGACGCUGAGGCGCGAAAGCGUGGGGAGCAAACAGG
rnacentral:rRNA from 1 species